CCUCCACGAGUGAAGUCAUUUCCCCUAACCUUUCCUGUUUCGUUUGGUGCAGAGGGUGCUGUCCUUUGGUCCUGUCCUGGCAAACUCUCCAUACUGUUGAGAUGGUGGACAAUUGCAUCUCAACCAUGUCAUCUGAAAAUAUUUCAGCUUCUCCACCAGAGGGCGUCCUGCGGUCGUCCGCUGGGCUGGGCAUUCCUCCUCCUGUUGCACCUCCUUGCAGGUGCAGCACAUCAGGUGCAAUCAGCCUGGCAGGAUAAAGAGGCUGGAAGCCAGUCACUCUUCGCCUGAGUGUUUACCAUCACUGGGUUACCUAGCAUCAACCUGGACUCCUAUAAUCAUUUAUGGACUUACCCCUGCAGUUCCAAGCAUCCUGUGGACCUCUGGAUUCCCAUUUCCACAACUGGCUUCCUCCCUACAAGCCCAGCACCGCUACCAUCUAAGUCCUUGGGAUUGCACCUCCGCUGCACGCAAACAAACCUCAAUUCAUUCUCCGGACAUCUUCCAUCGCCAUCAUUCUCAAGGACCUCUCAUUCCCCACCCCUGGCGGAUCAUUCUCCAACACCCAAUAAGCCUCUCAUUACUUCAUCCACAUCCACAAACUUCUUCUACUCACCUCCAUUCCUGUUCCAGAGUUCCCAG